rnacentral:sRNA from 1 species
GGAAUAUGUAUUUAUAUUUGAAAAUUAUCAAUAAUGAGAUAGUAGCUAAAUCCACAAGAGUGGAAUUAUUCAACAAUAAUGUAUUAAUAAUAUGUUGAGCAUCUAUUAUGAGCUAGACAUGGACGUGCUGAAGAUAUAGUGGAGAACAAGACAGGUAUGUGAUAGUGGAAUGUGAAGAUCAAGAUACUCAGCAGAGAGAUCCAAAGACCCAUGAGAUGUACUUGAACGUAAUGAGAAGAUUCAGCCAAGCAUUGUUGAAGGGUGAUAAGUCUGUCAGAGUUAUGCGUUCUUUGCUGGCUGCACAACAGACAUUUGUAGAUCGGUUGGUGCAUCUAAUGAAGGCAGUACAACGCGAAAGUGGAAAUCGUAAGAAAAAGAAUGAGAGACUACAGGCGUUGCUUGGAGAUAAUGAAAAGAUGAAUUUGUCAGAUGUGGAACUUAUCCCGUUGCCUUUAGAACCCCAAGUGAAAAUUAGAGGAAUAAUUCCGGAAACAGCUACACUGUUUAAAAGUGCCCUUAUGCCUGCACAGUUGUUUUUUAAGACGGAAGAUGGAGGCAAAUAUCCAGUUAUAUUUAAGCAUGGAGAUGAUUUACGUCAAGAUCAACUUAUUCUUCAAAUCAUUUCACUCAUGGAC